AGCAGCCGCGGUAAUUCCAGCUCCAAUAGCGUAUAUUAAAGUUGUUGCAGUUAAAAAGCUCGUAGUUGAAUUUCGGGAUCAAAUUGUCGGUCGUGCCUCGGUACGCACUGGCGUUAUUGGUUCCUCCCUUCUGAAGAACCGCGAUGUCAUUAAUUUGGUGUCGCGGGGAAUCAGGACUGUUACUUUGAAAAAAUUAGAGUGUUUAAAGCAAGCUCGCGCUUGAAUACAUUAGCAUGGAAUAAUGAAAUAGGACGUUUGAUUCUAUUUUGUUGGUUUCUAGGAUCGACGUAAUGAUUAAUAGGGAUAGUUGGGGGCAUUAGUAUUCAAUUGUCAGAGGUGAAAUUCUUGGAUUUAUUGAAGACUAACUACUGCGAAAGCAUUUGCCAAGGAUGUUUUCAUUAAUCAAGAACGAAAGUUAGGGGAUCGAAGACGAUCAGAUACCGUCGUAGUCUUAACCGCAAACUAUGCCGACUAGGGAUCGGAUGAUGUUAAUUUUUUAAUGACUCAUUCGGCGCCUUAC
rnacentral:rRNA from 1 species